AACCCUUACAGAUAGACAGACACCGUCAAACAAAGUGAUCCUAACUUUGUUUGACGGUGUCUGUCUCUCUGUCUGGCUG
rnacentral:pre_miRNA from 1 species